rnacentral:lncRNA from 1 species
GAAUGGAACGAGACGUUGAUCGAGGCAUUGAUCGAGAAGUGAUUAAAAUGGUUAUUCAGAAAUAGCUAAGUUGUGUUGCAAGUGGAAGUUAGGCAGAGAUUGCUAUAGAUAAAAUCUUGUCAGAAGCUGGCAGAAAGGAAUGAUAUGGCACUACAUAGUGUUAUUAGAAAUCUGAGAUAGACACCGGAGUUAAGGCAAGUAUAUAUCCAACCUACUUUCUCUUUAAAAGAUUUUGCUCCUGCAAUGCUUUGUUAUGCUUUGAAUAUUGCAAAACUCCUUAUAGAAUUAGACUUCUACUAAUUAACUAGUAUUCUGGAAUUACCCAAGUAUGAAAUGGAAUACCCUUUGUCACUUAUAUCAUGCAAAUGUAUCAGCUUAAUUAUCAUCCUUAUCUUCUUCAACUGCCAGAUACUUAAUAUUGAGCUUAUAACUUUGUUUUCUUACCUCCCUCUCAACUACAACAAAUUGUGUUCUUGCUUAUAAACUAGUUCACUUGUUUGUUUCUGACUCAUAAAUCAAACCCUAUUUCUUGAAAGACCUUAGUUAUCAUCAUACAACCUACCCUGCCAUUAUUAUAAAAUACAUUGAUACACUUGAUUCAGUAACCUGUACCCUUGAUAAAGAAUACUUAAUUAGUAGAAAUCUAAUGCUAAGGUGUUGAAAUGAAUAUUUGGUUGAGAAUCAUUGUUGCUUACAGAUUUUGAACCUUGGUUUAAAAUGAAAAAAUGAAUUGAUUUAUCUGUUUUAGAAAGGGAAUUGGAUGAAAAUGUUUUAUGACCGAGGCGCCGGUCCCAAUUGAAUUAUUAAAGGCCAAAGUGUGCCUAGGAUCCUUUAUAUUUGAGAACUCGUAUUGAAUAUGCGGGUUCGGAGCUAUGUCGUGGGCUGAUCACCCAGCUUAGCUCGUAGCGUCUUAUCUGGUUCCAAUUCCAUAAAGAAGAAACUGUUUUGUUUAAAUCAUAUUGUGUUGGUAUCAUUAUCUUUAUAUCAUUGUUGGUUUGGAUAUUAUAUACUUGCUGAGCAUUCUUUUGCUCAUUCUUGCUAUUUCUUCUAACCCCUUUCAGAUAAUGUUAAAGAUGGUUCGCCUAUUUAGGCUAAGCAUAAGAGUAAGGCUAGGCGAGGAUUGCAAGUGACUAAGUUUCAACCUGAUGGUCAGGAAGAGUAUCCAAGAUCGAGUCUUUGGGACUAGUGGUAAUUAGAGUUGUCUGAAUUUGAUUUAGUUGUAAAAGCAUGUAAUAAGAUUUAUUAGUUUUACUUUUCUGAUUUCAAUAAUAUAGCCUGUUUGCGAUCCUGUUUUAAAGGGGGUUAAACUUUGUUCUUUUAAAUCUUUUAAUAAAGCUUUUAGGUUUUAAAUUCUUUGAUUUUUAUUAGCUUUUCAACAAUACAUGUUUUGAAAGGGCAAAUCAUUUUUUUUUAUAUCCAGGUUUGAAAUACUUGUUUUUACUUCCUUUAAAAAAAAAUACAGGUUUUCAAUGGUUUUUCUUUUAGUGGCGCCAAAUCUAGACCCCCGGAUUUGAGGGCUGUCACAGUUGGUAUCAGAGCUACAGGUUAUAAGUUAUUGAAAUCAGAGUGUAGGUCAUAAUAAUAGGUUUAAUGAAAAAGAUCACGUAGUGUAACCUCACAUAGAGGUAUCGUAAGACUAUUUGGGGAUAGUAUUUCUGUGCAGAAAAAAAAAAUGAAGCUAGACGAUUAACUUGAGUGUAUAUGUUUAGAAAGUUUAUGAUUUCUAAGUCUAGACACUAGGAUUAUAGUGUUGAUUAACCGAGAAUGGUAUUGUUGUGAGAAAGGUCAAGAUUAGACCUAGUUAAAAGAGUUGAUGGUAAAUGAUUGAGCUGAAAUUUGUAAAGAUGCAUGGCUCAGAGCAAUCUAACCAUGUUGGAUAUUUGAAAGUGGUUUAUUGAUUUGAUUGAGAUAUGAAGAGUGAGUGUGAAAUAUGAGUUAUGUUGGAUUAGAAGGAAAGUUGUGCAGAUAGAGGUAGAUAGAUGAGGAGUGGGGGAUAGAGAGUAUGUGGAAUUGAGUCCAGUUAUGAGAGACGAUUAAUGCGAGUAAGUUAGACAUCGAUGACGACGCUUCAAGAUGAUCGAGACUUUUAAUGACAUCAAGGUGGGCCUAUAACCCACAGAUCGACGAGUCAGAAAAUAGAAGAUAUGCUACAUGUUGUGCUAUGGACUUCAAAGGCGACUGGGAUGAAGUCGGAAAUAUAAACUACUUGGGCCAGACUUAUUAGAAACGAUAACGUCUACGAUGACAUUUUACGAGACUAUUACGAGUCAACAUCGAUUGAUUAUCGAGAACAUUGAAAAGAAGACAUACGUCGAACAACAAUUUAUUGAAGCAGCGCGAAAAUUUGAGAAGACCUUGGCAAUACCUCUCUUCAACUAAAGAUUCUUUUGAUUGUUUUCUCAUCAGUGAGAUAUCAUCAUGAUUUUUUUUUUUUUUUUUUUUUACAAAAGUUUCGAUAAAUGAGAUCUUCAAUUUCUCAAAUUCUAAGAUGACAUUAAUAUUGACUAUUGGUAUGAGUUGGAAGGCAAAGAUAUGUGAUAAAGGUUUGUUGUGAUGAGACAGUGAAAUAUUUCUUGACAUUCCUUGAUAUUCUUUCAUCUUCCUUGAUAUCUCUUGGUGUUCUUUGACAUUUGAUAUUCUUUGACAUUCUUUGAUAUUUCUUGAUAUUCUUUCCAUUUGAUUGGGAUGAACAACCCUAUUUAUAGGGGACACAAGGUAUGCCUGUCUGUGUGAUAGGAGUUGGAUGGGACGCCAUCACUUGUGUGUGUUGUACAUUACAAGAAGGUUAACUACCUUUUUAGUGUCUAAUAUGGACACGCAACAUUAAGUUCAUUUGAUCGUAUUGAUAUCCCAGUCACUCUUGUAUUCCAAUGUGACCUAUUGUGAAAACAUCUUGUUCCUCCAAAAUUCCCAAAGAUUGAUUCUUGGGAAAUGAAUUUUGCAAUUGUGAAAGUUUGAUUCUCCUAUUUCCUUACAGUCAAAGGUAUACCAAGAUCGAUCAUAGGUGUGUGAUGAUACGUUAUGACGAAACGUAUAGUGGAAUCUCAUAAGUGAUACGUUUGAGUUCUCUUUGUGGAUUCCGAGGGCUAUUUAUAGGGGACACAAGGUAUACCUGUCUGUGUGAUAGGAGUUGGAUGGGACGCCAUCACUUGUGUGUGUUGUGAUUACAAGAAGGUUAACAACCUUUAGUAGUGUCUAAUAUGGACACGCAACAUUAAGUUCAUUUGAUCGUAUUGAUAUCCCAGUCACUCUUGUAUUCCAAUGUGACCUAUUGUGAAAACAUCUUGUUCCUCCAAAAUUCCCAAAGAUUGAUUCUUGGGAAAUGAAUUUUGCAAUUGUGAAAGUUUGAUUCUCCUAUUUCCUUACAGUCAAAGGUAUACCAAGAUCGAUCAUAGGUGUGUGAUGAUACGUUAUGACGAAACGUAUAGUGGAAUCUCAUAAGUGAUACGUUUGAGUUCUCUUUGUGGAUUCCGAGGGCGGAAUCCUUUUAAGGGGGGUAGAAUGUAAUACCCCAGAAUUUUUUAUUAUUGUUUAGUUUGUGAUUAUUAUAAAUCUAAUUUGUUCAGAUAUUAUCGUUAUCUUUAAUUGAAAAGUGGAUUGAUUAUGUGAAUAGUUCUAUGUGAUUAUACUUGUUCGGAAACAAUUUUUAGCUUCAUUAUCGACUAGAUUGAAGUUGGAAAGAACUUGUAGCUCUAUUCCGGACUCGUUUGAAGUUGAAAACAACUUGUUGAGAUUUAUUUAACAUUCUUAUAAUCAUAUGACCACAAUCACGUGAUAUUUGCUUCGAUAUAGGAAAUCAGUCAUACUUUUAAAUCUUCAAGAUUCUUGUUAUCUCUGAGACUUUGGAGGUAUGCCAACCAAGUUGCCAACAUGAAUUAAGACUUUGUAGUAGAAGGCACCAGGAUGAAAGCGGAUGACAAUGCUGGUAUACGGAAGCGAUCAAGAAAAAUUUUAUAUCAUAUUAAUAUGUGUAUUACUUGUUCUACGAUUUAAUCGUAUUAUCUGGAUGUGAUUUAUGCUUGUGUGCAUAUUUGUUCUGGAUGUGAUUUAUGCUUGUGUGCAUAUUUGUUACAAAUUGCUUUGUUAUUUAUAAAUAUUUAUGAUUUUCUUUAAAAUGGAUUAUAGUAAAAUGAAUUUCUAAAUAUACAAAAAUGAUUUGUAAAAUUCUUUUAAUUACUUGAAAAUGAUAAUGAAUAUAUUAGGAGUUUUUAAAAAUAUUAAAAAAAUAUUAUUUUGUAAAAUUUUGAUUUUUAAAUAUUUUCUAGAACGCAAUUAAUUUCUAAAUUGUGUAUAAAUUUCAUAUGUACUCGAUAAAUCUCAAAACUUUUAUUAUAUUAGUUUUACAAUAUUUUGAUAUUUAUAAAAAUAUUUUGGUGAAUUUCGGGAAUAUUUUAUUACAAGUGAUAUCUGUAAAUAAGCUAGUUGCGGGUAUUAGCUUAGUGAUUAUUCUACAAAAUAAGACACGUAGCCGCACCAAAGUGUGCCACGUGCCCUCAAUAUUCCACCGCCUCUUCUUUUCUUGGCUCCCCCGUCUCUUUUCCUUCUUUUAAUCUGCAUAAUUCUCAGUCUCUCUCCCUCUCCCAAAUCACUCUCAAUCUCACCUCUUCCCUCAAUCAAUCUCUCUCGUGUAAUUGCUCUUUCUUCCUCCUGCCGUUGCUAUAACCGCCGGGUCUUUGCCGCCGCUUUCUCUUCCGGCCAGAACCACCACCGUGGCACCGCCUGUAUCUUCCUCCUUCCGGCAACCACCAUAGCCCUGCACCAGUUAUAAAUCAGUGGGUAUAAAGAUUAAUUUAUCUUUGUCAAAUCAGUUCUAUAUAAACGUAUAUAUAUGUGGUGUUGUGUUUAUAUGGAUUAAAUUGAUUUAUAUAAUCGAUUUAUGUGUGCUUGUAUGUAUACAAACUGAUUAUAUGCUUGAAAUUGAAGGUUGAUUUCAUUUUUGAGAUUGAGAUUGGUGUUAGUAAUUGUAUGAUUGAAUUGUGUCCUUAAUUGAUAUUUGAAUUGGUUGUUGUAGGUUGAUUAUAAAUAGUGCGCCAACUAGUAGUUUAAUCGGAUGACUUGGGUACUUGAAUUGUGGGAAUAUAUAACUGAGUAUUCAAGCUUUAAGGUCUGAGAUUUGUGUAAAUGUUUUCAGAAUGGUGUUUUAAGAGUUUAAGCAUUGGGUUAAAAAUUUAGAUUUACACAUAAUCGGUUGAAUUGUAGGUUGCUGCUGAUCUGUUUUGCCGUACAAUUCUGGGCUCAUAGAUUUGAAUUAUAUGCUUAAUCUUUGUGUGGUUAUGUGCUCCUCAGAGUCUAGUUUAUGUGCGCGAAAGAAUCGAAUCGAUUCGAUUAGCGAGCUAGGAGAUAUGACCGUUUUAGUAUGGUAUGCGCAGAAAAUACUGGACAGGGUCUGUUAUACUGAUUGCAGACUCUGUUUGGAGGUCUUAUACUUGGUGUUUAAUUCUGAAAUCUUUACUGGAGUUAGAUGUUAGUGUCUGGAAUAUGUCAUUAAAAUUUUAUACAAACAGACCAAUUUUCCUAUUUAUUAAAAUUCUUAGCGUGGGGCUGGUUCUGCAGGACAGACUCAGGUUCUUGACUUGCAGGCCCUGUUUUACUCCCUUAAACAUGGAAUUUUCUUCUGAAAUUUUUAUAGUAGAUUGGAAUAAUGUUUAGGAGUGUCUCAUAGAAAUUUUGUAUUAAAGAGAUAAAUUUUCAAUUUAUUAAAAAUCAUAGAGUGAGGGCUGUUUGAACUAUUUGUUCUCGUCUUCUUUCUUUGAUUAGUGCAUAGGAGGAGGUUAUACUUGGUUGGUCAGUGUUAAUCAUGUUUAAUAGUGAUAUAUGAUUUCAAAUCUAGCUAUGCAAGUGUGCAUACUGUGAUAUUGUGUUUUAAUUGAUAUUGGUCCAGUACUUAUUUGUUUAUUGAGUUGGAUUGAGUUGGUUACUUGUUGAAUAAUAUAAGAAAACAGGUGGAUAGUCCGAUAAAUAGAGGAAGUGCUGUCGAAUUUUCGUUAGAAACUAUAUAUGUUUUACUUGUUGAAGGAUAUUAAAUAGAUAAGAAUAAGGUGACAUGGUUAACUGAAACAUGUUAAAUGUUAACUUAUCAAUAUUGACUUUUUAAUGGCUAUAAAAGUUAAUUGUUCAACUAUGUGCUAUGUGUUUGUCUGACUAUGUGGCAUGUAUAUGCGAAGGGUAGAUAUAAAAUAGGUCUUAAUGCUUUUCGAGCUUAGUUAAUCCGUCUGAUCCGACGACUAAAAUAAUAUUUUGCCAUCGUAUAGAAUGGAACGAGACGUUGAUCGAGGCAUUGAUCGAGAAGUGAUUAAAAUGGUUAUUCAGAAAUAGCUAAGUUGUGUUGCAAGUGGAAGUUAGGCAGAGAUUGCUAUAGAUAGAGUCUUGUCAGAAGCUGGCAGAAAGGAAUGAUAUGGCACUACAUAGUGUUAUUAGAAAUCUGAGCUAGACACCGGAGUUAAGGCAAGUAUAUAUCCAACCUACUUUCUCUUUAAAAGAUUUUGCUCCUGCAAUGCUUUGUUAUGCUUUGAAUAUUGCAAAACUCCUUAUAGAAUUAGACUUCUACUAAUUAACUAGUAUUCUGGAAUUACCCAAGUAUGAAAUGGAAUACCCUUUGUCACUUAUAUCUUGCAAAUGUAUCAGCUUAAUUAUCAUCCUUAUCUUCUUCAACUGCCAGAUACUUAAUAUUGAGCUUAUAACUUUGUUUUCUUACCUCCCUCUCAACUACAACAAAUUGUGUUCUUGCUUAUAAACUAGUUCACUUAUUUGUUUCUGACUCAUAAAUGAAACCCUAUUUCUUGAAAGACCUUAGUUAUCAUCAUACAACCUACCCUGCCAUUAUUAUAAAAUACAUUGAUACACUUGAUUCAGUAACCUGUACCCUUGAUAAAGAAUACUUAAUUAGUAGAAAUCUAAUGCUAAGGUGUUGAAAUGAAUAUUUGGUUGAGAAUCAUUGUUGCUUACAGAUUUUGAACCUUGGUUUAAAAUGAAAAAAUGAAUUGAUUUAUCUGUUUUAGAAAGGGAAUUGGAUGAAAAUGUUUUAUGACCGAGGCGCCGGUCCCAAUUGAAUUAUUAAAGGCCAAAGUGUGCCUAGGAUCCUUUAUAUUUGAGAACUCGUAUUGAAUAUGCGGGUUCGGAGCUAUGUCGUGGGCUGAUCACCCAGCUUAGCUCGUAGCGUCUUAUCUGGUUCCAAUUCCAUAAAGGAGAAACUGUUUUGUUUAAAUCAUAUUGUGUUG